GAUGAACGCUAGCGGCAGGCCUAAUACAUGCAAGUCGAACGGUAAGUGGUGUAGCAAUACACUACGAGAGUGACGUAAGGGUGCGUAACAAGUAUGCAAUCUGCCCGUAACAGGAGGAUAGCUCCCCGAAAGGGGAAUCAACACUCCAUAAGAUGUGGAGGUGGCAUCACCAUCACAUUAAAUCUUCGGAGGUUACGGAUGAGCAUGCUUCUGAUUAGCUAGUUGGUGGUGUAACGGACCACCAAGGCGAUGAUCAGUAGGGGAACUGAGAGGUUGAUCCCCCACACUGGCACUGAGAUACGGGCCAGACUCCUACGGGAGGCAGCAGUAGGGAAUAUUGGACAAUGGGUGCAAGCCUGAUCCAGCCAUGCCGCGUGCAGGAAGAAGGCCUUCUGGGUUGUAAACUGCUUUUGCCGGGGGAUAAAAAGCCCAUGCGUGGGAAAUUGAAGGUACCCGGUGAAUAAGCCACGGCUAACUACGUGCC
rnacentral:rRNA from 1 species